AAUAAGUAUUGUCUGCUAAUUGCUAAAGCUUUGACAAUUUAAGCAAUAUUUCGUACGGUCUUAUUGAAACUUAAGUAAGUGCUCUGAAAAUGGAUCAACCUCCUGAAGACCCAGAUUUAAAUGAGUCGAAAAAGAAAGAUGAAAAGAACGCCAAAAAGAUAUUGCAGCGGUUGGGUGAGCCUAAUAGAGGUUCAAACCUCAGACAACAAUCAAAUCUUUCAUUUUUCAAGCCCAAAGCUUCUCAGUUCUAAAACCCACAAGCCAAACUCUAGUUCAUAAGCUGCUGGUCAUCCAGCAGCUGCACCGCUGGAAGGCUUGGACUUGUUUCAGAAUGUAACGAAUCCAACUGAAACUACUGUUGAUGUUGAUGAGAUGAGUAAGUGUUUCCCAAACUUACUCCUUCCUUAUUUAAUGCAUGUUAUUUUCUAUUACUAUUUGUUGGUAAAAAAUAAUGGAAAAUGUGAUGAUUGACAGGGAACUCAGGAAAGAAAGACUGAAAGGCAAAGAAUGGCAGUCAAGAAAUGAAGCUCUUCAUGGAGCUUGGACAACAGAAAUACAGACUAUUUUCGUUAAUGCCGAACUCAAGAGGAGAAGUCAGUUUCAUAGUGUGUGCACUGUGUGCAAGAAAAGUGGCCGAAUCCUCGUAUGCUGUUAUGAUUGUAAGCAACAUUUAUGCUGGGAAUGUGAUUAUGCAUUCCAUUUUUUCAAUCCACUUCAUGCCAGAGUUUAUAAAAUAAGUAAAAACUACUCAACUGAGCAACUAUUACCAACCGAGUUUAUGAACGAGUUUGGUCAAAAAAUUGAGAAAGACGUUCCUGUAACUUGCUUCCCUCUUUCCAGGUGUUGGAGUUGUAGCUGGACACUUGUGUAUUAAAUACCGGAACCAACGAUGUUAUACUGUUAUCACAGUUAAAAAGGAAGGUUCGAUUUAAAGUCUGCCAGUUUCAGCUGCACUUCUUGCGUGUAGGGAGGCCCUCGAUGAAGAGUACGUUUAUUCAGAAUGGCUACCAGGUAAACCAGGAAAGGAUAAGGAAGAACCUGCUAAUCUCUUUUUUGAUGAACAUCUUUUGGAUACCUGUACGAAAUUCAAAACAAUACUCCUGGAACAUCACAAGAAAUGUUUCUGAAGUCUUUCUCAAAUGUCUACUCAAAAUGGCCAGCCAAGUUACAUCAAUCCAAUUCUGUUUUUUAAAGCCUAUGAUGAGAAUAAUCUAAUGAAGUGCAUUCAUCUCGUUCAGUUCUUACAAUAAUAAAUCAGUGAACAAUU